rnacentral:rRNA from 1 species
UACGUAGGGUGCGAGCGUUAAUCGGAAUUACUGGGCGUAAAGCGUGCGUAGGCGGUCCGCUGUGUCCCGUGUGAAAUCCCCGGGCUCAACCCGGGAACUGCGUCCGAGACUGGGAGGCUAGAAUCCGGGAGAGGGAUGUGGAAUUCCAGGUGUAGCGGUGAAAUGCGUAGAUAUCUGGAGGAACAUCGGUGGCGAAGGCGGCAUCCUGGACCGGUAUUGACGCUGAGGCGCGAAAGCCAGGGGAGCAAACGGG